CCACCACAUCCAGAAUUCCAGAUCUAUGAGAAAGCAAGAGCUGCUGAGAAACAGAGGGAAGAAGCCAGUAUAUGUUGCUGCUACCAUAUAGAUUUUAGAUCAUGAAUUCAAUAAAUACAAUCGAAAACUACGCAGAGGAAAGAAAACCUUUUAGUUCUUGAUUUGGAGGUUGAGCCAGUUACGAACCCAGUGAGAAAAUUCGUAUCAAGAAAGAAGAAGACAUGAAGCGUAUAACCCGUUCUUCCAUUGUAGCUUCUCAAUUCUUGAGGCCCAAAGACAAGGAGGAUUUGCUUUCCAUGAUUCCUCUUUCCCAGCAUUUCUUUGCUCAAAGGACCUCCAAUCGCUUCCUCGACAUAUACCAGAUGGGGAACAAAGCGGCUAUUGAGAAAGAACGUGCACGACUUGCAGAUGAAAUGAACAGGGGAUACUUUGCUGAUAUUUCUGAGCUCAAGAAACAUGGUGGUAAGAUUGCUAUGGCAAAUAAAAUAAUAAUUCCUGCUGCGGUGGCUAUGAAGUUUCCCACCUUGGAAGUGAAUUUCUCUGGUGGCGAAACAAUAAAGCUUCCCAUCGCUUCUAAUGGAAAUGGAAAUGUGGUUGAUUCUGACAACUCAUCUCUCCCUAAGGCAUCUUUGCUGUGCCUUUCAUUUCGUGCCAACUCUCAGGGGAUGAUCGAUUCUUGGACUGGACCUUUCCGUGAUGCCUUUCAUGGAUCAAAUGAUAUUCAGCUCUAUGAGGUAUCAUUUAUAGAUUCAUGGCUUUUAUGUCGGAACCCAAUUAAGCAGCUGCUUCUUCGCAUUAUGAGGAAAUCCGAUGAUGAUGGAAGGAAAGAUGUGCUUAAGAGGCAGAUUGUAUACUCAUUUGGUGAUCAUUAUUACUUCAGAAAAGAACUUAAAAUACUGAACCUUCUGACUGGGUACAUUUUCCUGCUUGACAAAUUUGGUAGAAUAAGAUGGCAAGGCUUUGGAUCGGCAACACAAGAUGAGUUGUCAUCCCUUCUCUCCUGCACAUCACUUCUUUUGGAAGAGAAGUGAGGUAAUCAGAGCUUAUAUGUUGACAUGCAUUUGAAGUGAUUUUCAAAUUCCACUUUCAAGGCAUAUUAGUUUAUGAGAAGCAUGGUUGGCAAACUGGUAGUAAUGGGAUGGUGGCUACUAUAAGUUUGUUGAUCCAAGAAGCCUAGGAGUUUCAAUCCAUUAGGAGCUUCAAUUUUGUAACAGGAGACUGGAAGAGUAAUUUUCUUGUUUUAGAGCAACAGACUGUUAAGAAAAUAAGAUUUCAUUUUACUUCUAUCAAAUUCAGAAAAUGUUAAAAGAAGUAGUUUCUUACUCUGUCUUUGAAGAUGUUUUUCAAUAUGUUGUUAAAUGAAUCUUCAUUCUGCUUUUUAUAAUUUA